UUGGAGGGCAAGUCUGGUGCCAGCAGCCGCGGUAAUUCCAGCUCCAAUAGCGUAUAUUAAAGUUGUUGCAGUUAAAAAGCUCGUAGUUGAAUUUCGGGAUCAAGGAAUCGGUCAUGCCUUGGUAUGUACUGGUUUUAUUGGUUCUUACCUUCUAAAGAACCAUAAUGUCAUUUAUUUGAUGUUAUGGGGAAUUAGGACUGUUACCUUGAAAAAAUUAGAGUGUUUAAAGCAAGCUUACGCUUGAAUACAUUAGCAUGGAAUAAUGAAAUAGGACAUCAGAUUCUAUUUUGUUGGUUUCUAGGAUCGAUGUAAUGAUUAAUAGGGAUAGUUGGGGGCAUUAGUAUUCAAUUGUCAGAGGUGAAAUUCUUGGAUUUAUUGAAGACUAACUACUGCGAAAGCAUUUGCCAAGGAUGUUUUCAUUAAUCAAGAACGAAAGUUAGGGGAUCGAAGACGAUCAGAUACCGUCGUAGUCUUAACCAUAAACUAUGCCGACUAGGGAUCGGAUGAUGUUAAUUUUUUAAUGACUCAUUCGGCACCUUACGGGAAACCAAAGUGUUUGGGUUC
rnacentral:rRNA from 1 species